rnacentral:lncRNA from 10 species
AAUUUGGUCAGAGACUUGCUUUUAUUAUAGUCCAGUAGAGAGAUUGUAGGGGGAGAAGGUAACUCUCACACACAUCACAUUUUUAGAGAUUAGGGUUACCUAUAAAAAUUACCUAUUUUAAGAAUUGUGCAUGUUCAAAUUGAAUUAGGUUCAGUUCACAACAAAAGGGAAAUAGCCUAGGAUAUACUAAGGAGGAGUAGUUCAGUAUGAUCCACUGAAUUCAGUAAUUCAGAGGGAUCCAAAGGAUUGCCAGCAGACAGAGUAAAAUGUGAGAUAAGCCUCUGGGAAUGGAUGAAAUGUAAUUAACAGUAGUAGGGAAGGUAAGAAGCAAAGUAUGAGAUUGACUGAGAUCCUGUGUUCAUGAGUAGUUGAAGAAGAAAGGUUGGAUAAGAAGGGUAAUGUCAAAAUGGGGAAAGAUUAGAGGGUAGUCCAGUUUUUAUUUUCUUUUUUGGCUGGACAGACAAUACAUAGCUUCCUAAUAUGGCUUAUCGAGACACUUCAUAAACCUGUUCUCCUGCACAUCACCUAUGACCUCCUAAAUCCCACAGCAAGUGGCCUUAUCUCAGUUCUUCCCUUUGUCCCCAUUUCUGUGGCAUUUGAGCUCUGAUCUACCGUCCCUUUGGGAAGAUGUUAUGGCCCUUAAUAGAGCUAGUCCUGGAGAUCGAGAUUUGCAAAGGGAGAGUACUGAUGCUGUGACAAGGCAUAAUAUCACUGGGCGGGUGCUGAGUGCCCAGAUGCAGAGAACUGAGAUGGAACCUUGGAGGAUGGAGGCAUUUAGGGGGAAGGGAGGAGAGAUCAGAGACAGGAAGGGAGUAAGGGGAGCUCAGAGACAGAAGUCAAAGGACACUGUGGGUGUUCAUUCAUGUGUUAAAUCAGGCAAAUCAUGGCACUAUUUGUGGGUGGCAUUGGAAGUUGCCAGGGAUGAAGGCAGUAUCUAGGUGUGUUUGCGGAAAUACUAAGGAGGACAGUAAAUUACCAUGGUAGGCAGUGGGAGAAUAGGAGAUAUAUUAGACUGCCUACCAACUUAUUAACUCCAUGGAAGCAUCCAUCUAGAAAAUAUUGAUGAUUCACUGAGAUAAUGAUUGUCCUUGUUUUCCUUUGUUUUCUUUUUUAUCUCUUCCUUCAGUUCCUCUUCCUUGCUUCCUGGGUAAAUCAAAUCACAAAAUGAUGAAACCUGCGUCUCAUCUUGACAAAGCAUAGGCCCUGUUGCCAUGGGACUUCUGUGGUUUUCCAUUAUAAGAAUUAUUAUAAAGAUAUGUGAGCAAGAAGAACAGAUAAAAGGUCUCUUUAAAAUGAACGUGUAACUACAUACAUAGUUUUUACAAUGCUGUCUUCUUACCUGUGGGAAAUGUUUGCACUUAAAGCACUUAGAAAAAAAAAACAAUUAUUUUAAGCAAUGUUGCGUUUUUUUUUCCCUUGCAGGCUCUAGAUGUAAUGAUAAGCUUUCUUUAAUUUAUGAAUAGAAUUUGAAAGAGAAUUGUCUAGUAGAAGGAGUCACUUAUGUACGCAAAAUAUAUUUAUUGAAUUCAUUUCAUGUGCUAGUGAGUGUCCUAGACACUGGAGAUACAAGGUGAACGUAACAAAAAUGUUCAUUGAACUUGCAUUCUGGAUCUUCUGUAAAGGUGACACAGACAAUGAAUUCUGGCCAUAUCAGCUGUUUUACUUAGGUAAGUUUUUAAAUCUGCCUCUGUUUCCUCAUCUGUGAAAUAGGAUUGUUGUGAAGAUAAAAAAUUAGAACACAGUUAAAUACUCAACAAAUGUGUUAAAGUCAGAGGCUAACAUAUUCAAAGGUGACCUGAAAACUAUAAAGCAGCAUAAGUAAUCUAAUUUGUUACUUACCCUGGGAUGGACCACCUUAGAGGGUCAUUUGGCUUAUGACUUUUAGACUGUCUGCACUUGGCAGUGGGUGGAGGUGGUUAAUUUUGUCUGACUGAUAAACUGUUCUCUAUUUCUAGUUCCCCUGUUGAGGAUUCACCAGUCAUUGCAAGUCCCUGGAAACCUACCACCUGCAGCUUGCUCACUGGGGAGUGAUUUGGCUUGCUGUGUAUAAAGGGUCUGAAUGAAUUUUAAAACUCUUGAAUCUACCCUAUAUGAUGUUUAUGAGAAGCUAAAAUUCAUUUUGAACAUUUACAAAAAGCUUUUGUUACUAUUAUGUUUAACCCUUUCUGCUGGAGCAAAAUAAAUGGAACGUUUCUGCUAUCUCGCUCUGCUAAGUUUAUCAGGUCCUGCUGGAGUGGGCGUAUAUAGAUGAGGACCCCAGGAGCUAUACAACAAUAAAAGAGAAAUCAUUAGGUUUUUUUUUCUCCCGUGCACAUUGUCCUAUUAUGUUCUGGCUGGAGGCUGGGGGAGUUAGAUAUCCUGCCUGUUCUUGGUAGAAUUAUUGCUUUGGGGCGCAAGGUCUGGGGAAACAAUGACCCUAUGCAUGAUACCUUCUGGUAUUUGUGAAUAACAGUCAUAUAAAAUCUAAUGAAUAUGUUGGCUUCUAUAGUGAAAUCAAGUCCAAACAAAGGAUGCGGUGAAGCUUGAAUAGAGUAUGUGGAAGGUAGUGUAAUAUUAUAGUCUUAAAUCCAACAGCAAAAACAGCAUCAGACUGGGCAUAGUGGCAAGUGAGGGCCAAGAUGGGAGGAUUACUUGAUGCCAGGAGUUCAAGACCAGCCUAAGCAACAAAGCGAGACCCCCAUCUCUACAAAAAAAAAUUUUUUUUUUUAAUUAGCUGGGUGUGGUGAUGUGCACCUGUCUUCCCACCUACUCGGGAGUCUGAGGCAGGAGGAUCCCUUGAGUCCAGUAGUUCAAGGUUGCAGUGAGCUAUGAUCAAGCCAUUGCACUCCAGCCUGGGCAACAAAGCAAGACCCUGUAUCAAAAAUAAACAAACAAAUAAAGCAGUAUCAGCAUUAGUAUUUUCAUGUGCGUCCGUGUGAAGAGACCAGCAAACAGGCUUUGUGUGAGCAACAAGGCUGUUUAUUUCACCUGGGUGCAGGAGGGCUGAGUCCGAAAAGAGAGUCAGCGAAGGGAGAUAGGGGUGGGGCCGUUUUAUAGGAUUUGGGUAGGUAAAGGAAAAAGGGGGGUUGUUCUCUGGCAGGCAGGAGUGGAGGGUCAUGAAGUGCUCGGUAGGGGAGCUUUUGAGCCAGGAUGAGCCAGGAGAAGGAAUUUCACAAGAUAAUGUCAUCAGUUCAGGCAGGAGCAGGCCAUUUUCAUUUCUUUUGUGGUGGAAUGUCAUUAGUCAAGGCAGGAACAGGCCAUAUGGAUGUGUACGUGCAGGUCACAGGGAAUAUGAUGGCUUAGCUUGGGCUCAGAGGCCUGACAUUCCUGUCUUCUUAUAUUAAUAAGAAAGAUAAAUCAAAAUAGUGGUAAAGUGUUGGGACAGCGAAAAUUUUGGGGGAUGGUAUGGAGAAAUAAUGGGCGAUGUUUCUCAGGGCUGCUUCGAGUGGGAUUAGGGGUGGUGUGGGAACCUAGAGUGGGAGAGAUUAAGCUGAAGGGAGAUUUUGUGGUAAGGGGUGAUAUUGUGGGACUGUUAGAAGAAACAUUAGUCAUUUAGAAUUAUUGGUGAUGGCCUGGAUACGGUUUUGUAUGAAUUGAAAAACUAAACGGAAUAAGAGAAGGAGAAAAACAGGUAUUAAAGGUCUAAGAAUUGGAAGAAGCUAGGACAUCUAAUUAGAGAGUGCCUAAGGAGAUUCAGCAUAGUUCUGCCAGCAAAGAGUAUUUAUUUACUUCAAGAGUUAAGAGUGGCAGUUUGGGGAUAGCACCAGGAGAUAUCUGCUGUGAUGGCUUGGAGAAACAGUGUAAACCGGCAGUGUAAACAAGAGCAGGGCAUGUAUGAGUAGUUGAGAACGGUGAAUAGGAGUAUGACUAGACAGAAGAUAGUAGGGAUGACAAGUUUUUCGGGGGUACAGUCCAAGUUGGUUUGGUGUCUGGAAUGAGACUGGGGCUUAAUAGAAAGGAGCGUCUAUACAGGAGCUCAAAUGGGCUGUACCCUGUACCAUUCUAAGGACAGGCUUGAAUUCUGAGAAUGGAAAGUGGUAAAAGUAUUGUCCAGUCCUCUUUAAGUUGGUGGCUGAGCUUGGUGAGGUGUGUUUUUAAAAGACCUUUAGUCUGUUCUACUUUUCCUGAAGACUGAGGACCAUAAGGGAUAUAAAGGUUUCAUUUGAUACUAAGAGCCUGAAAAAAUGCUUGGCUGAUUUGACUAAUAAAGGCUGGUCUGCUAUCAUGAUGUAUAGAGGUGGGAAGGCCAAAUGGAGGAAUUAUGUCUGACAGAAGGGAAGAAAUGACUGCAGUGGCCUUCUCAGACCUUGUAGGAAAGGCCUCUACCUAUCUAGUGAAAGUGUCUACCUAGACUAAGAGGUAUUUUAGUUUUCUGACUCGGGGCAUGUGAGAGAGGUCAAUUUGUCAGUCCUGGGUGGGGGCAAAUCCUUGAGCUUGAUGUGUAGGAAAGGGAGGAGGCCUGAAGAAUCCCUGAGGGGUAGUAGAAUAGCAAAUGGAACACUGAGAAAUGAUUUCCUUGAGGAUAGAUUUCCAGGAUGGAAAGGAAACGAGAGGUUCUAAGAGAUGGGCUAGCGGCUUGUAACCUACAUGGAAGAAGUUAUGAAAUGACGACAGAAUAGAAUGGGCCUGUGAGGCUGGAAGGAGAUAUUUUCCUUGGUCUAAGAACUAUUUGCCUUGUGUGGAAGAGAUUGAUAGGUGGAAGUUUCAGCGGGGGAGUAGGUGGGAGUGACUGAUGUGAAGGAGAAAAACUGGCUGUGAGGGACAGAAGUUGGAAAGCUAGCUGCUUGUCUAGCCACCUUAUCAGCAUAAGCGUUGCCUGGAGCAAUGGGAUCUGACACCUUUUGAUGGCCUUUGCAGUGAAUGACUCCAGCUUCCUUUGGAAGUAAAGCGGCCUUGAGCAGAGUUUUUAUUAAAGAGGCAUUAAUGAUGGAGGACCCUUGCGUAGUGAGGAAACCUCUUUCAGCCUAUAUAACAGCAUGGUGGUGCAGAAUAUGAAAGGCAUAUUUAGAGUCAGUAUAAAUAUUGAUGCGUAGUCCUUUUGCAAGAGUGAGGGCUUGAGUUAAGGCAACUAAUUUGGCUUGCUGAGAGGUAGUGGAGGGGGACAGAGUGGUAGCCUCAAUAACAGAUGUGGAAGAUACUAUUGCAUAGUCUGCCUUUGCUGGUGAGUGGCGAUUAGGCCUGGUGGAACUGCCAUCAAUAAACCAAAUGUGAUCAGGGUGAGAAACAGGGAAGAAGGAAAUGUGGGGAAAUGGGGUGAACAUCAGGUGGAUCAGAGAGAUGCAGUAAUGAGGGUCAGGUGUGGUAUCCAGAAUAAUGUGGGAGGCUAGAUUGAAGUUCGUGCCAGGAACAAUGGUAAUUGUGGGAGACUUAACAAAGAGUGAGUACAGCUGAAGGAGCCAGGGAGCGUCAGGUGUGAGGAAGAAAAUAGAUCUUGGAAGUUAUGAGAAAUGUAGAGAGUGAGUUGAGCACAGUUUGUGAUUUUUAGGGCCUCUAAAAGUAUUAAAGCAGUGGCAGCCGUUGCACGCAGACAUGAGGGCUAGGCUAAAACAGUAAGGUCAAGUUGUUUGGGCCGAAAGGCUACAGGGUGCGGUUCUGGCUCCUGUGUAAGAAUUCUGCCCGUACUAACCAUGCCUAGGAAGGAAAGGAGUUGUUGUUUUAUAGAAGGGAUUGGGGUUUGGGAGAUUAGCCGGACACGAUCAGCAGGGAGAGCACAUGUGUUUUUAUGAGAAUUAUGCCGAGAUAGGUAACAGAUGAGGAAGAAAUUUGGGCUUAACUGAAGUAAUGGGGGCUGUCUGUGAAGACUUGCGGCAGUACAGCCCAGGUAAUUUGCUGAGCCUGAUGGAUGUCAGGGUCAGUCCAAGUGAAAGCGAAGAGAGGCUGGGAUGAAGGGUGCAAAGGAAUAGUAAAGAAAGCAUGUUUGAGAUCUAGAACAGAAUAAUGGAUUGUGGCGGGAGGUAUUGAGGAUAGGAGAGUAUAUGGGUUUGACACCAUGGGGUGGAUAGGCAAAACAAUUUGGUUGAUAAGGCACAGAUCUUGAACUAAACUGUAAGCCUUGUCUGGUUUUAGGACAGGUGAAAUGAGGGAAUUGUAAGGGGAGUUUAUAGGUUUUAGAAGCCCAUGCUGUAGCAGGUGAGUGAUAACAGGCUUUAAUCCUUUUAAAGCAUGCUAUGGGAUGGGAUAUUGGCGUUGAGCAGGGUAAGGGUGAUUAGGUUUUAAUUGGAUGGUAAUGGGCAUGUGAUCAGUUGCCAGGGAAGGAGUAGAGAUGUCCCAUACUUGUGGGUUAAGGUGGGGGGAUAUGAGAGGAAGACACAAAGGAGGCUUUGGGUUGGGGAGAAGGGCAGCAAUGAGAUGCGGCUGUAGUCAGGAAUAGUCAGGGAAGCAGAUAAUUUAGUUAAAAUGUCUUGGCCUAAUAAGGGAACUGGGCAGUUGUGGAUAAUUAAAAAAGAAUGCAUAAAAGAAUGUUUUCUAAGUUGGCACCAGAGUUGGGGAGUUUUACGAGGCUUAGAAGCCUGGCCAUCGAUGCCUACAACAGUUAUGGAGGCAAGGGAAACAGGCCCUUGAAAAGAAGGUAAUGUGUAGUGGGUAGCCUCUGUAUGGACUAAGAAGGGGACGGACUUACCCUCCAUUGUUAGAGUUACCUAGAGCAUCUGUGAUUGUCCUGUAGGCUUCCGAGGCGAUCAGGCAGUGUCAGUCUUCAGCUGCUAAGCCGAGAAGAUCUGGGAAGAAGUCAGUCAGAGAGCCUUAGGUCAGAGUUCCAGGGGCUCUGGGAGUGGCUGCCAGGUGAGUUGAACAGUCUGAUUUUCAGUGGGGUCCGACACAGGUGGAAUGCGCCUUAGGAGGAAUCCCGGGCUGUGGGCAUUCCUUGGCCCUGUGGCCAGAUUUCCAGCACUUGUAGCAAGCUCCUGGGGGAGGAGGUUCUGGAGGAACCCCUGGCAGCUGUGGUUCGGGCAUUUGGAGUUCUCAUGUGCUGGAGAUGUGGCUGGGGUUUGUCUCACAGCGGAGGCAAGGAAUUGCAACUCAGAAAUACGUUGCUACUUGGCUGCUUCUAUUCUAUUAUUGUACACCUUGAAGGUGAGGUUAAUUAAGUCCUGUUGUGGGGUUUGAGGGCCGGAAUUUAAUUUUGGGAGUUUUAUUUAAAGUCAGGAGUGGAUUGGGUAAUAAAAUGUAUAUUGAGAAUAAGACAGCCUUUUGACCUUUUAGGGUCUCGGACUGUAAAGCAUCUCAGUGUUGCUGCCAAAUGAGCCAUGAACUGGGCUGGGUUUUUCAUAUUUGAUGAAAGAGCCUAACUGCUAACUGAUUUGGGAGAGGUCGCAUAAAGAAAAAGGAAAAUUAACCUUGACUAUGCCUUUAGCUUCAGCCAGAUUUUUAAGAGGAAAUUGCUGGGCAGGUGAGGGAGGGCUAGUCACAGAAUGAAACUGUAAGCUGGACCAGGUGUGAGGAGAGGAGGUGAUAAAAGGAUUAUAGGGUUGGGGAGUAGAGGCUGAGGUAGAACUGGGACCUGGCUCAGCCUGUAGAAGAGGAAUCAACUCCGGUUUUUUUUAACUACAGAGACGCUUUGCUCAUCCAGAAAAAGACUCCGUUGUCUUCCUCCGUGUAACUCUUUUGCCAUAGAUGUUGUGGAGUGUAAGAAUGUAAACUGUUGCUUUUGCUGGGAUGUCAUCAUUUUGCAAAUCACAGAGGAAACUUGAGUCCCACAGGGAGAGUGGAACUUACGUAAUAAAGCAACUGGUAUUUUGUCUGAUAGUUCCAGCCAUGCCUUCCCAUAGCAACUGUAAUUCAGCAUCUCUAAGAAAAAUUGUGAUUUUUGACAAGGAAGAAAAUCAACAUCCAAUGUUAUUUCUCAAGUAAUUGCAAGAUGUUAAUACUUCAUAUUCACUCCAUACACCACCAUUUUUGGAAAAAACGUUCUGUGAUUAUUCUUUUGCUAAACUUUAUGCAUAAUGAACACACAAAGUACUCACUACUUGAUCUCCAAGGGAGAGAGAAAAAAGCAUUUUGUACAGGAAACGUCACCAGGAAUUUUACAGGCCACACAGGGAAGGAAAACUGCCUUGCCUUGAAUCCAACACAGCAGGGACCUGGGCACUGACUGGAAUAGAGAACUGAGUUCAAUGAAAGGCCCCAUGGAGCUGGCUUCAUAGGAUGAAGCUGAAAUACACCAAGAAGUAAAGGAACAACUGGGUUUCAUGACUUUAAAAGUCCAACAUUGGGAAGAAGUAAGUAAAGGGAAAUUUUUACUUUAACUUUUCUGCCCCAGAUUUGGUUUUAGCCUCCCUGGGGAAUAAAAAUCCAGAUAAGUGAGCCAUAGAUGUCAGUGAGCUUCUUGAAACUAGUGAUGGAGUUCUGGAGCUGUGCUAAGGGUCAUAAAAAGCCCGGUGGAAAUUAUGCCUUUGUUUCCAUUAGCGCUGAUUAGCUGACUAAAAUAUCAGGGUUCUGUAGUUUAGGUCAGUGUAGCAUUGGCAUCUCUGGUUGAUCUUAUGUACUUUUAUGUAUUGACCCCUUAUCCUUUGGUCAAUAAAAAUUGUAAAACUAUCUUUCUUGAAAUUGAUUUGAUGGCCAUAUUUUUCAAAAUGUAGGGUCCAUAUAGAGAAAAUUCUCUAAAGAGGUUGUUGGUGGG